GAAACCUCAAGAUGUUCACAAUUUAACAUCGCAAAGGCCUUUAGAUUAGACUGACCAAAAAAAUUAUAAAAUGUCAUAAAAUUUCUAGGAGUAGUUUGUUACGGCGUAAAACAUGUCACUUCCUGUUGCCAGCAGGUGGCGCUAUAGCGAUAUCUGAAUAUUGGCAUGUAGAUAUAUUCAGGUCAGGAGUCUUCUCAAACAUGUGAAGUUUGGGGCAGAUUGGACAUUGUAUGUCUGAGUUACAGCAACUUCCUUUUUCAUGGCGAAACAUCGAAAUUUGUCAGGCCGCCAUGGACAUGCCGUUUA
ensembl:lncRNA